GAUGAACGCUGGCGGCGUGCCUAAUACAUGCAAGUCGAGCGAACAGACGAGGAGCUUGCUCCUCUGACGUUAGCGGCGGACGGGUGAGUAACACGUGGUUAACCUACCUAUAAGACUGGGAUGACUUCGGGAAACCGGAGCUAAUACCGGAUAAUAUAUUGAACCGCAUGGUUCAAUAGUGAAAGACGGUUUUGCUGUCACUUAUAGAUGGAUCCGCGCCGCAUUAGCUAGUUGGUAAGGUAACGGCUUACCAAGGCAACGAUGCGUAGCCGACCUGAGAGGGUGAUCGGCCACACUGGAACUGAGACACGGUCCAGACUCCUACGGGAGGCAGCAGUAGGGAAUCUUCCGCAAUGGGCGAAAGCUUGACGGAGCAACGCCGCGUGAGUGAUGAAGGUCUUCGGAUCGUAAAACUCUGUUAUUAGGGAAGAACAAAUGUGUAAGUAACUAUGCACGUCUUGACGGUACCUAAUCAGAAAGCCACGGCUAACUACGUG
rnacentral:rRNA from 1 species